AUACACGAUAAUGAGGGGACUGAUGGAUGGACAAUGAUUAACUAAUCUAUAUUAUUAUUUGGAAUGAAAACUUCAAACUAAAAAAUAUAGGGUUAGUCCAUUCAUUUUUAUAAAUUUGUUCAUCAUUCAUCAGGUGUCCAAUUUCUAAAGAACAUAUUUAUUAUAAUAAACAGACUAAUCCUUCCAUGAACCAACUGGGAGGAUUUUUUU
rnacentral:sRNA from 1 species